UACCAGACUCCUACGGGAGGCAGUAGUGGGGAAUAUUGCACAAUGGGGGAAACCCUGAUGCAGCAACGCCGCGUGAGUGAAGAAGUAUUUCGGUAUGUAAAGCUCUAUCAGCAGGGAAGAAGAUGACGGUACCUGAGUAAGAAGCCCCGGCUAACUACGUGCCAGCAGCCGCGGUAAUACGUAGGGGGCAAGCGUUAUCCGGAUUUACUGGGUGUAAAGGGAGCGUAGACGGCUGCGCAAGUCUGAAGUGAAAGCCCGGGGCUCAACCCCGGGACUGCUUUGGAAACUGUGUAGCUAGAGUGCUGGAGAGGCAAGCGGAAUUCCUAGUGUAGCGGUGAAAUGCGUAGAUAUUAGGAAGAACACCAGUGGCGAAGGCGGCUUGCUGGACAGUAACUGACGUUGAGGCUCGAAAGCGUGGGGAGCAAACAGGAUUAGAUACCCGAGUA
rnacentral:rRNA from 1 species